UUAAAGCGGUACGCGAGCUGGGUUCAGAACGUCGCGAGACAGUUCGGUCCCUAUCUGUCGCGGGCGCAGGAAAUUUGAAGGGAGCUGUCCUUAGUACGAGAGGACCGGGAUGGACGUACCACUGGUGCACCAGUUGUCUUGCCAAAGGCAUGGCUGGGUAGCUAAGUACGGAAGGAAUAAACGCUGAAGGCAUCUAAGCGUGAAGUCCCCCCUAAGAUAAGAUUUCCCACUGUUUUAAACAGGUAAGACCCCACGUAGACUAUGUGGUUGAUAGGUCGGAGGUGUAAGUGUGGUAACACAUUGAGCUGACCGAUACUAAUAGGUCGAGGGCUUGACCUC
rnacentral:rRNA from 1 species